GAUGAACGCUGGCGGCGUGCGUAACACAUGCAAGUUGAACGACGGUGUCAUGAAGUGGUAACACGGAAUGGCAUACGGAGUAGCGGACGGGUGAGUACAACAUGAGAAGCUGUCCUUCAGUGGGGGGCAACGUCUGGAAGCGGACGCUAAUACCCCAUAGGCCGAGAGGUUAAAGCAGAGAUGCGCUGGAGGAGGUGCUCGUGCCCUAUCAGCUAGUUGGUGAGGUAACGGCUCACCAAGGCGACGACGGGUAGCCGGCCUGAGAGGGUGAACGGCCACACUGGAACUGAGAUACGGUCCAGACUCCUACGGGAGGCAGCAGUGGGGAAUAUUGGGCAAUGGGAGGAAUCCUGACCCAGCGACGCCGCGUGAACGAUGAAGGCCUU
rnacentral:rRNA from 1 species